rnacentral:rRNA from 1 species
AUGCUGUCCGCGUCCCUGAAGCCGCCGCCCUCGCUCCCGGCGAUCUCCCCGUCCUCCCGCGCCCCCGCGCUGCCCGCCGCCUCAUUCCUUUCCCUUCUUCCCAGCCGCGGCCGGGUCCGCCUCUCGGCGGCCGCGUCCGAGGGCGCCACCGUCAGCCAGGAGGACGCCGCGUCUGUCUCCGCCGCGUUCGAGGAGGCGCGCCUUGCUCAGUUCGCGGCGGACUGGAAGGCUGUGCGCGCGGACAAGGACCAGGGGAAGAUCCUCACGCUGCCCGUGCUGCGGUCAAACACCGGCGGGCUCAUCCUCAAGUACAACUCCAUGCAGGGCUUUGUGCCCAAUCCUCUCCUCAGCCCCGCCCAUUGGUCUAAAGAUCCCAAAAGGCCCAUUCAAGAUGUUACAAAGGACCUAGUAGGUUCCUCUGUUUCUGUCAAGGUAGUUGAAGCGAAUGAGGCAGAAAAGAAGCUUGUAUUCUCUGAGAAGGAUGCCAGUUGGUCAAUGUACUCUUCUCAAGUAAAGAUUGGCGGUACCUAUGAUGGAAUUGUUGGUUCUGUCUUCCACUAUGGUGCAUUUGUUCACCUGCGAUUUCCUGAUGGAAAGUAUCAUCUCACUGGUCUCGUACAUAUCUCUGAGGUCUCUUGGGAUCUUGUCCAAGAUGUCCAAGAUUUUCUAACUGAAGGCGAUAUCGUCAAGGUCAUAGUGGUGAAUGUUGAUGCGGAGAAGUCAAGGAUAGGUUUAUCAAUCAGGCAAUUGGAGGAAGAUCCUCUGCUGGAGACAUUGGACAAAAUUAUUCCUUUGGAACCUGAUCUGUCACCUGAUGCUGAGACCGCAUCAUCUCCUCCAGAAAUUGAACUUCUUCCAGGACUUGACGGGAUAUGUAACGAACUUUUACAAGAGGACGGUAUAACAGAUGUGCGGUUCGGGCGGCAGGCAUUGGAGAAACGUGUGGUUUCGCAAGAUCUAGAGCUCUGGCUUUCUAGUGUGCCAGCUAAGGACAACCAGUACAAGCUUCUUGCUCGAGCCGGGAGACAGGUCCAGGAAGUGUACCUGACGACGAGCCUAGACCAGGAGGGCGUGAAGAAGGCGGUGCAAAGAGUACUAGGCCGCGUCCCCUGA